AGUAGAGAGCAGUACAGGUGUGACUUCAAGAAGUAUUCUGGGUUUCUCACGUCACAAUGAUUUCAACUCUUAAGCUCUAUGUCUUUUCCUGUGUCUCUGUUUUCCCGGGAACAGGCACCAUUUCUCCUAGCAAGUCCUGAGGAGCCAGUAGAAGAAAUCUCCCUCAUAGUACCCUCAUGGUAUGAUACUAUGACUCUUCAUGAAGCUUGAGAUUUGGAUGAAGCUAUUUUCAACCCUGCCAGCAAAGGAUCCUGCAUAAGUUUUAAAGACAAAAAAACUUCCUAGGGCUAUGUGUUCAAAUGCCUUUUUGUGAAGAUCUCUCUGUCCUGGGGAGCAGAGGGGAAGUCAAAAUGGAGCUACACACUGACACCAGACAGGUUAAAAAAUAAUGGUCACACUUCAGGCAAAUUGCAUUUUCUUCUCGUUUAAUCUCUGUUGAAGGAGAGAAAGGAGAUUUGAGCCUGAAUUGUUUGUUUCUCUCCUUGUCUUUCUAUACAACACCUUAAAUUCUCCCCUUCCUAAUCUGAGGUGACUUACAGAGGUUCCCUGUACACAAACACUACACAACACUGUAUUAGGUUACACACUUUGUUAGAAAAUUGGCAUUUUAGAUACUAAAUGAUAGCCUGCGCUCUGCAGCCAUGCUACCAUUCUUGCUCUAAGAUCUUGUCAGAGCCUAUAAAUUAAGCAGGAUUUGGGCUUGGAGUUGCAUGAAAGGGAGGGCUGUGGGAAACGAGGUUGCUACUUCAACUCUCAGGACUUACACUUAAGAGAAAAUUCUCUCCUACCUGACACAGGAUGUGAAUAUUGUCCCAGAACAGUCUAUUUUAACUGAUGUAUUCCUGAAUAAGCAGCAUUUUCUCAGACACUGGAGUGACAAGAUGCCACCUAAAUGACAACUUCUACAACCUGAAGGCUCUAUAUAAUGGCUGUUUCCAUCCAUAGGAGCUGGAUCUUACUGUGGUGCUACUGCACCCAAGCUAUAAGAGAUGCUGCCUAAGUGUGUAUCCACUGAAACAAUAACUUUAACAGCUCAACUCCACAGUGCAGAAGAUCACUUCUUUGAAAAGAUGAGCCAGCACUGCUUAGACAUAGCGCUUGAACUACUGCAGAAAAAAAAAGGAGGAUAUAGUGAGCCAGCUGACGCCUCUGCUUUCCCAUAUAUGUUUUAAAUCCAAGGAUGUGAACUGAGGAAUCCUUAUAAUCUAGUCCCUAGUUACUGAGGAGAUGACAUUGCUUGUGACUAUGACAAAAACUCAGCCAGAAAAUAACAUGAAGAACAAUAUUCCUGGUAUCUCCUACUACUUUCAUCUAGCAGUGAAUAUCUCACAGCAAUUACACACAAAACCAAGGGCAAAUAUCUUUUUGUCUGGCAGACUUUACAGAAGGAAAUAUCUACAUGUUGCCUCCACAUGUGUAGAGAAGUUUAUUCCAGGGUCAGAUAGUAUAACAUAUACAAAAUCCUUUGCUAUGCCUAAAAAUGGAGAUGUCCGCUUUCAAGG
ensembl:lncRNA